rnacentral:rRNA from 1 species
AUUGAACGCCGGCGGAAUGCUUUACACAUGCAAGUCGAACGGCAGCACGGACUUCGGUCUGGUGGCGAGUGGCGAACGGGUGAGUAAUGUAUCGGAACGUGCCCAGUCGUGGGGGAUAACGUAGUGAAAAUUACGCUAAUACCGCAUACGAUCUAUGGAUGAAAGCGGGGGCUCGCAAGACCUCGCGCGAUUGGAGCGGCCGAUAUCAGAUUAGGUAGUUGGUGGGGUAAAGGCCCACCAAGCCAACGAUCUGUAGCUGGUCUGAGAGGACGACCAGCCACACUGGAACUGAGACACGGUCCAGACUCCUACGGGAGGCAGCAGUGGUGAAUUUUGGACAAUGGGCGAAAGCCUGAUCCAGCCAUUCCGCGUGCAGGAUGAAGGCCCUCGGGUUGUAAACUGCUUUUGUACAGAACGAAAAGGUUUCUACUAAUACUAGGAGCUCAUGACAGUACUGUAAGAAUAAGCACCGGCUAACUACGUGCCAGCAGCCGCAGUAA